rnacentral:misc_RNA from 1 species
GUGAGCUGUAGUAAAAUUGUGUUAAAUAAAGAGAUGGUACCCAUUGGAAGUCUAAACUUGAAAGAUCCUAACAGCAUUUACUAGGGUUCCCUGUUCUCCAACGGCCAUUCCCACCACCACCACAUUGAGCCCCCAGCCUAAAGCCUAAAGCCUAAAACUUCUGCAGGCCUUUCUCCCUCUAGCUAUUUACUUCUCCUCGAACUCGUGUGACCUGACCUCCCCCUGACCCCUCAGUUAUAAAUCCAAACUAACAAAAGCAGAGCUUGCAAACACAGAGAUGGCCAAUAAGACUCCCAUAUUCCCUAUGCCAGAGCCUCAUCACUACAGCGACUAUGGCUUUGACCCGCAAAUCAACUACUUUCAGGUCUUGCUCUUAAUUGGUUUAUUACUCUGUUUUCUUACUCUCUCAUAUGUUCUAUGAUUUUCACUUUCUUUUUGAGAUUGACCCAUUCUCUUGUUUUUGUGCUUAAACAAAGUUCUUGGAGGAAGCCAGAAAGCACAAGCGUGAGACAGUGAGGUCCAUAGACUCUUCGCAUUUCAAGCUCCAAAAACCCAUCUCGAAAGAUGAGUCUAACAGAAAGAUCCACAAGACCAAGAAGAAGCGUUGGUGGAGAAAAGCCUCCUUGUUUUUCAAAUGGAAGUGGAUCUAUAGCCAACAUAAUGAUAAUGCCGAUGAAAAUGUGCAUAAAGCCAGGGCUCGAGCAUUCAGGGCAUCAGUAUCGGGUCCUGUGUACGUAACUGAAAGCAGAAGCGGGUCGAGUACUCCGUACAGGACCACUAGCAGCCCAUCGUCAGGUCCGCUCGCCGGAACUCUGACUCCGGCUAGGAAGGGUGAUUUAGAGAUACCUUAUUUGAGUCUGAGGGAGCUAAACAUGGAGCAUCAGCAGCAGAGGAUGUCCACUUCUGCUAUGCCAGUAUACCUGGUCACUUAAUUAAAUGUUUCAAGUUUUUGAGCUCUGGGCAGCUUUUGUUUCAGGAUGUUACUGACUAGUGACUACUUCUUGUUUGGUUAGUGAUGUUUGUGGGUUUGCUUUGGGGGUUAACCAUUAUUAUAAUUAUCUUCUUGGGUUUUUGCCUUUCUCUUUUUUAUACUUUUCAGGUUUUGCAAAGUGCAAACUGCAAAAGGCGUUUGAUCUUGGAGGAUGGUUGGAUUGGAUCCUCUUUUUUUUUGGUGGUUGUUGCUCACUUUAUUGAUUUCUUCAACUAAUAGACUAGUCAGUGCUCAAAGGUUUGACUGAGUCACUUCCCUCAUUUUCUCCCUUGUUUAUUCUUCAACAUUCACGAGGCUGUUAGUGGUUGGCUUGCAAUAAAAUAAAAGAAAAUCCAUUGAUGGAUCUUAGGCAGGACGGGAAACGCACUGCAUACGCGUACAAAUUACAGGAUUUCUCCUUGGGUUUUGAAUUUUCAAACGGUUAAUGCUACUUUUUCCAAAUACGGGGGUAGCUUUCGAAUUGGGUUAUUGUAUUCGCCCACAAAGACCAUGGGAAGCAAAUGGAUACAAGCCCCCUACAUGAAAGAGAAGGCAAUGAUGCUGUUAGUCUGUUACCAGCAAAGGGUGGAAGGUAUCAGUGGGAUGACCUAACAAAUUGGCAUUAAAAAAUAUUGAAUAAUGAAAACGAGAUUUUGACAAGGCAAAUUAAUUAUAGAAAGGGAAAGAGAGAGAAGGGUUUCAACGGCAGUAGAUUGGGGCACUAGGCUACAAAAUAAUGAGCGGCGGCUCCGUCUGCCAUGUGCUGGUUUUAAUUCGCGGAUUAUGCUGAGUGCAAAUAUCACAUUCACAGGGCUGCUCAUCCUAUGCAAUCCUCCUAUGUCGUUUUCUUUUCGCAUUUUGUCAGUUGGAUUCUAAUCAACGGUUUUAUUUUUCGAGUUUUAAAUUUAGUGUCCGUUUAGAUUUUAAGAUUAGAUAUACGUUAAGGUAUAAUUGUCAAAACUUCACAUAAAU